CUCGUCCCGGGGCUUGCCCUGGCUCCUUGUUUACUUCGCUUCUUAUCUUUGGGAGACUGCUUGGUUGAUUAAGGGGACAUUAUUAGGGUCCCUAUUAUGUUCUCUGAGCCUCAGCAGUAAAUCCCCAAGUCUAGGGGCAGCAUGGCAUAGGAUGAAGAACAUGGGCUUUGGCACCAGGGCGAGUCUGAAUCCUACCUCCUCCCCUUACCAGCCCUGUGACUGGGAAGUGACCUGCCUCUUUGAGCCCCUUACUGCUUGUGUGCUGUGAGACGAAGACUCUCAACUAGAUUCAAUAAAGGGCUCACGGCAGGAUCUCAUGCAUUCAACCAGGAGCGCCUGCUAUAUGCCAGGCACCGUCCCAGGCACUGGGCAUUCACUGGCAAAGAAAACAGCUGGAAAGGCCUGUCCUCGUGAAGCUGGAAUUUAGGGAGGGGCAUACAGUCAACAGGAAGCUGCAGAGUACGAUGAGGCUCAUAGAGAAAUGCACGAGAGAUGUGGGCUGGCAAUUCCUGGGUGCACAGAGGCUGGACCACAUGGCUGUGGCCCCAGCCAAAGACCUGGAUCCAGCCAGGCCUCUGCGUGGUCCUGGGGGGCUAGGAUGGAGGCGCCCAGCAGGACCUUCCAUGUCCCCACAUUUGCCUUCCACGGCGAUGACCCAGGAGGAGCAAAGGCCACACCACCUG